rnacentral:lncRNA from 1 species
UGUCCGCGACGCAGCUCGGGAUCCGGGUCGGGGUGUCGGCCGGGUUGCUGCCGGGCACCGUCGAGCGUUAGCCACCCAGCAUUGAGCUGCCAGCGGCUGUUCUCCCUAAGCACCCUCGCUCACGUCGCCUCGCCUCGCCUCGCCUGACCGGCCGCAGCCUUGGAUACCAGCCUUAAAUCGAGCCGACUACGGCCCAGCCCCGCCCGCGGCGAGGAGCAGUGCAAAGGCUUCACUGAAAAAGAACAUUACAAAUUUUUUUUGAAAGAAAUUUGGGGGAAUCCACUGAAGACCUACAUUUCCCGGAAGGUUAACAGCCCCCUUCUCAGUUUUCCUGGUGCUCCUAUCAGUGACAAAUCAGCGUAUUAGAACAUGCAUGCUGGCUGAUCAUUCUGAUCAAGUCAACAAGCUUCACAACUUACUCAAUGAGGUCGUCCGUGAGAACUUCACUGUUUUACGGGGACAGGAGCUACUUCUUUGCUGAACUGCAUCACGGUUUCAACUGCUGAGGUUUUCUUCAAGCUUUUGCAUUGUUUGGAAUGUGAAGGGCAUGGCCGAGACACACUUUGAGGUUCCCACUGCAUUGUUACACCUCCCCCCUCACUUCAGGGCCAGGUAACACCAAGAAGGACGCCAUGAGAGCGAAGGCCGUUGGGUCACCGCCCUUUGCUCUCGCGCUGCGCGUCUCCCUGCCAUCAACCGCCGCAACUGGCGCUGGGAGCGGUUGAGGGCGGCCGGCCUCGCGCUGGAACCUCGCCCGCCUCAAGGCUCCUGCGGCGGCACACGGGGCAGGCCAGGACCCGCCCUAGGAGGGCCCCGCUGGAGAUGUGGAAAUGGAGGGACGCGGCACCUGGGCGCUUCCUGGGGCCAGACAACGCCCCCUCAUUGGAACCUCCAUGACCCUGCCUCUGAGAAACCAGCGCGUCCGCAACGAUCACUCCUAAUUUUCGGUAAUAAUUCCUAUCAUCUGUCUCCACGUGAUAACACUGAAGAGCCUUCACAUUGAUGCAGGCCCAGGGCCUCAAGUGCAGAGACUGAGAGCUCUGCAGGACACAGCAUGGAGCCGCCAUUCCUCUACUGGGUGGAGGAGCAUGUGUCCUCUGAAC